rnacentral:lncRNA from 1 species
AAGAACAAAGCAAAAAGGACUUGUGUAAUCUUUGAUUUUUCCUUCCUUGCAUUUUUUUCUGUAGCAUUCAACUAUGCUUCCAGGCGUUCACUGCAUCAUAUCAAAGAUGUCUAACAAUAUAUCAAUUAAGAGAGUGCUGAAAAACAGAAGAUACUGAGAGUUCACUGAUUAUUUUUCUGCAUGAUGAAGGUUUCAGAAAGAGAAUAUCUAGUUUUCUUCUAGGGUAUCUGGGUUUAAAGAUGCUUUUAAUAAACUGGGGAAGAACGGCUAACAGUAGAAGUAAAAAACCCACACUUUACAAUUAAUUAUGUUUAUCUAACAGGAUGGGAAAAAGAUGCUGGAGAGAUAUGGAAGAGCUGGAAGAAAUGGUAGGAGGGUAAAACAGAAAACAAGUGCUGCUAGAAAAGAAGUUCUUAUACACUGGAAGAAAUGAUUUGAAACACGCAGUUACCUUUUACAUGGUUAUCACAUGGGUAAUGAAUUUGGAGUGGAAAAAUGGACUGGCAGUGCUGGAUGCACAAUAAGAUUCUGCCAUCUCUUCCAGGUGUUGUCAUGACCUCCAUCCUUGAGCAUGUUUCUUCCUCCUGCACACCAGGUCCUUCUAGAAUCUAGACACAGAAGAUGCUAGUUGGAUAUGAGAUUAUCUGCUAUUGCGAGUGCCCCUAUUUUUACAAGCCUUGAUUUUAGCUUCCCCUAAAAAAGAUAUAUAUUUUUUGUUUUCAUGACAAUAUAAUGCCAUGUUUCUUCAACUGCAACAGAUGCUCCUAUUCUUUCAUCCUGUGAUGGCAAUACUUACUGUGGUAAAAUUGCUAAUUCAGUGAGCUGGUGAAAGUAAAAAGAGGUAAAGAGAUGUUGAGAUUUCUGAAAACUUAGUAACAGCUAUUGGGGUUUAUUGAGUUUUGCCUUAUGAUCAUGCUUACCAUGUCCUUAGACUGAAUAAUCAAUAAGAAUUGUGGCUCAUGUCUUAGUAUUUCUUGACUGCUUUCUAGUAUUUCACAACUGUAAUUUCUCAUGCUGCAUUUAAAUUUUAUUUUUAAAUCUGUGUAUUGAAUUGUUGGGGUGAACGUGGCUGUUUGAGAUCACCCUUUGAAAAAACUGGGUUUAAAUUCCAUGUGAAAAAUGUUUUUCUGCGUCCUGCAACUUGAGGUCAUCUAAUAUGUUCAGCUGCUAUUUUCAGACUCUUCUCAAAGACUUUAGGAUUCAUCCUUGAACAUCCAAAGAGAUUUGUAAAGCAAAUAGACAGAAUUCCAGUAUAUACUUUAUAAACGCAAAGUAGAAGAGUCCUUCAAACCAAAGAGUUAAUCUGUCAUUAUCAGAACAAACUACAUUUGAUACGCUUGGGAUAGCAUUUUCAUGCACAGCUCUUGAUCAUUACUUACCUUUGCUAUUAAUUUUGAUUGAGUUGAGUGGAUAAUCUUUAGUUUUGGAAAAAGCUCUGUAUGGCUUCAUACACUUCCUAGCACUGUUCUUAAAG